rnacentral:lncRNA from 1 species
GGCUUAUUUGCCUUACAGUUGUGUCAAUGAGAAUACAUUGGAAGCCCAGUGAUUUAUAUUCUGUGUGUAUGUUUGAGAAAUGCCAUUCAACUUCUUUCUUUUCUGUUGUACUUUGCAGCUGAAAUGUCUUACUGUGAGCUAUGGGGAGUUUUCUACUGUUCGUUGCUUUGUGAUUGCUGCUGGCUGUUGUUUUGCCUGUCCUUCACUCUUCUGUGUUACUGGAAGUCAAGCUGGAUAUGUUGACAUCAAAUCAUUUUCCUGCCUUCAGAUCAGCUUCCCAUAA